rnacentral:rRNA from 1 species
CCUACGGGAGGCAGCAGUGGGGAAUAUUGCACAAUGGACGAGAGCCUGAUGCAGCCACGCCGCGUGAAUGAGGACGUAUUUCUGUGUGUUAAGCUCUAUCAACAGAGAAUAGAAACGAGGGUACCUUACCAAGAAGCACCUGCUAACUACGUACCAACAGCCGCGGUAAUACGUAGGAUGCAAGCGUUAUCCGGAUUUACUGGGUGUAAAGGGAGCGUAGACGGAAAGACAAGUCAGAAGUGAAAGUCAAAGGCUCAACCAUGGGACUGCUUUUGAUACUGGCAAUCUAGAGUACUGUAGAGGUAAGAGGAAUUCGUGGUGUAGCGGUGAAAUGCGUAGAUAUUAGGAGGAACACCAGUUGCGAAGGCGUCUUACUGAACUGAAACUGACGUUGAGGCUCGAAAGUGUGGGGAGCAAACAGGAUUAGAUACCCUAGUAGUC